CACACACGUGCCCUUUAAAAUAUAGUCAUUCCAACAAUGGCACCCAGUCUCCAUCAUGAAAUAAAUAAAUAUGAAGGCAUCAACAACGGUUUCAUUUGGCAAAGCCACGCAGCCUUCUGGUAACAGUAAGAGAGGCUCCUCACAUCCAGUGUUCCUGUUAGCUCUCACACCUCCCUUUAAACACCAUUAUUUGCUUCCCUCGCCAAUAGCUUUACCUCAGUGCCAUUGCCUCAUCGUGCUGCAGAGUGGACUCUUUGGAAAUGCUGCAAUACUGCACCCUCGUGCAAGUGCAACAUGCUAAGUAGCACUCGGCACGUCCAGUCUUCAGCCGCAGACAAGAUGGAGCGGAUCUGGGCCAGUGGAGAAUGCCUGGCAAAGCUAUCCUCAGAGCCCUUCUCGCUAAAGGAGCAUCCAGUCUUCAUGCAUGAAAGAUGGUCAAGCCGAUACCCACUCCCUUCCUACUAAUCAUAGCACCAAGAGUUUGGGCAGAGGCUGGUGCCAGGCAGCUGCGGAUGCACAAAAAUCACUUUCUAAAGUGCCAGACCUCAGCCUCUCUACAUGACUUCUUCAGUUCUGGGCCUUCCAUUGCUACUGAGGUUAUAUCUUCACCAGUGGCUUCUCCUUACCUCUCACAGUACCAAGACUUAGACCCCAUCAUGGCUUCAAAAGUAGGAUAACCUGGAGACUCUUUCACUACCAAGUUCAGCUAUUAGCAGGAGGUAUAAACUUGGCCACCUCUGGAACACAGCUUCUGUGUGCUGAUAAGGAGGAAAUGUUUUCCAGAAGUGUUUGCCUCAAUGAUGCUUUAGUUUCUUACCUCUGCAUGAUCAGCAUUGAUUUUAGGUCUGAUAUCUUGUUAGUCACAGCUGAUUCCUCAGCCCCAGAAUCACUGAUUCUUACCUCAAAAUAUGCAACAUCCCUAAUAAAGUCUUUGAAUGAUUUUCA
rnacentral:sRNA from 1 species